GUGUAGGGUCCUUUUUAAAGAACUUGUCCACAACUGAUAGUAGCACACAUCUAUUGUGCUGUACCGCCAGUGGUUCUUGUGCCUACUAUCUGCAUCUCAUUUACAGCAGCGGCUUAUGGCAUUAGGCAUACUGCCAUUGCUUGUCAAAACUUGCAAAUUAAAUCUAUGUGUGAGUGAUAAGUGCUGCAAGUCUUCCGUAGAAAGAAGCACACACCUCACUUUUUUGUUUGUUUGUUGAUUUCAUUUUAACACCGACCAAAGCUGUUGUAGAUGAGCUUGGCAGGGCGCUAACUUGGCGGAAACAUGCUCACUUCGCCCUAUGGUUGGUUAGUGUGAAUCACCGUUGUUAAGCAUCAUGGUUCACUGUUACCUUUCGAGGAAUCUACUCAAUAACUUGUGAAGCUGACAUAAUCUUGCUUUUCACUCACAUUUAUUCAUUACCUCUCUCUUCCUUCUCUCUUUCUCCACCUCUCUGUUUUCUUCCUCUCCACUCACCUUUCUUCCUCACCUACUCGGGGUUGACAGAAGGCCCCUUGUUCAGAUGCACACCGGGCUUCACACAGUUUUUCAUUCCCCAACAAUGAAAGGAGCUUUCAGCAAGGCUGGUUCCAAUUCAUCUGUGAUAAAUGAGAAGAUAAGGCAAUCAGAGCACACCAUGACACGGUGUGCAGCUAGUUAGGCACACUUCGAGCCCAUUCAGGUGUGGCUGUGAGUCCUGACGUUGGGGGGGCCCUCUAUAUAUACAUACACAACCCUGAUGGUGGCCAACACUCGGGCAGGAGCUGGGUGCUGGUUCUUUGGUGUAGCUUCUUUCUGUUGACAGUUCAGGUGUUGUGACGCUAUAUGGAUCAGAAUGAGUAGAGUACCGGAGUGAGAAGAUUCUUUUACAACUUCUUGCUAUUGGAUGGACAAUUGAGGAGGUCAGUGUUUUCACUGGAGGCAUCUGUGGAGGCCUCUGAAAUGGGUGUCUAUGAGGAGUUUUACAAAGGCCUUUGGAAAGGGUCUCUUGAGGCGUAACAACCAGGAACACCUGAGACAGGAUUUGGCUGCUAUGACCUAUACAUGGUCAACAGGGGGUGUCAGAAUCCUUCAAAUCAGAAGUUAUGCUUCAUAUUAUACAGCUAUGUAAGCACAAAACUCGUCAGUGUUCUAAUACUAAUCUAUUAUUAAUUAAUAAUGAACAAGAUAGUAAUGAUGUAUUUCUGAAAUAAUUGGAUGCACUUUUUUUAAAUGUGUUUUUGCAUGUAUUGGAUUAGCAUUUUCCUAGAGGAUGCAUAAAUAAAUUAAAUGUUGUUUGUGUUUUUUUAUAUCUUGUGCACAUGAAAAUGUAUAGCCUACAUGAUGAAACUCAAGGGUGUUCCAGAUGCUCAAGAUGGAAUUCAUUCUUCAUUUCCUGUCAACACAAGUAAAGAGGGAUGUCUUGAAGGAGUUAUAUUAGUCCCAACUCAAGUCCAGGUAUGUUGAAUAUGAACCAUAAAUACAACAUUAAUCCACUCAAACGGAA
ensembl:lncRNA